CCUACGGGAGGCAGCAGUGAGGAAUAUUGGUCAAUGGACGAGAGUCUGAACCAGCGAAGUAGCGUGAAGGAUGACUGCCCUAUGGGUUGUAAACUUCUUUUAUAUGGGAAUAAAAUGUUCCACGUGUGGGAUUUUGUAUGUACCAUAUGAAUAAGGAUCGGCUAAAUCCGGGCCAGCAGCCGCGGUAAUACGGAGGGUCCGAGCGUUAUCCGGAUUUAUUGGGUUUGACGGGAGCGUAGGUGGAUGGUUAAGUCAGUUGUGAAAGUUUGCGGCUCAACCGUAAAAUUGAAGUUCAAACUGGCAGUCUUGAGUACAGUAGAGGUGAGCGGAAUUCGUGGUGUAGCGGUGAAAUGCGUAGAUAUCACGAAGAACACCGGUUGCGAAGGCAGUUCACUGGACUGCAACUGACACUGAGGCUCGAAAGUGUGGGUAGCAAACAGGAUUAGAUACCCCGGUAGUC
rnacentral:rRNA from 1 species